AUUGAACGCUGGCGGCAUGCCUUACACAUGCAAGUCGAACGGCAGCACGGGGCAACCUGGUGGCGAGUGGCGAACGGGUGAGUAAUGCAUCGGAACGUACCUUUCAGUGGGGGAUAACUAAUCGAAAGGUUGGCUAAUACCGCAUACGCCCUACGGGGGAAAGCAGGGGAUCUUCGGACCUUGCGUUAAUGGAGCGGCUGAUAUCUGAUUAGCUAGUUGGUGAGGUAAAGGCUCACCAAGGCGACGAUCAGUAGCUGGUCUGAGAGGACGACCAGCCACACUGGAACUGAGACACGGUCCAGACUCCUACGGGAGGCAGCAGUGGGGAAUUUUGGACAAUGGGCGCAAGCCUGAUCCAGCCAUUCCGCGUGAGUGAAGAAGGCCUUCGGGUUGUAAAGCUCUUUCGCAAGGGAAGAAAACUUACUUUCUAAUAAAGAGUGAGGUUGACGGUACCUUGAUAAGAAGCACCGGCUAACUACGUGCCAGCCGCCGCGGAAACAC
rnacentral:rRNA from 1 species